CAAAGAAACUUUUGAGUGGUCUGCCCAGGAUCAGAGAACGGGUGGGUGAGCCAGGCAGGCUGGCUCCAAACUCCGCAGGCUGAAGAACCACAGUCUACUGGUCUGAGCGGCCCCUUUCCCUCCUCCAGGCCGUAGGGGCCAAGGUUGUGUGAGUGAACCAAGGACGUGGUUCCUCACCCGCACACUGUGGCCAGCUCCCUGGCAUCCGCACUCACACUUCCCCUCCCUCUUGUCCGCGAGGGGAGGACCUCACUGCCCCAUCUGCUCUACGAUUCUGUCCCGAGGUUGGCUUUUUUCUGUUCUCCUGCCUUUCCCACAUCCAGACCUCUCAAGAUGGUUCCCGACACAGCUCCUUAGCAGCCCUCGGGCUACGCUGCAAUCCCUGACUCUUCAGCUGUGUUUCUGCCCCCUCUUACCCCUCCCCAGUUCCCGAUUUGUGCUAAGUUCCAGUGACUCUUCUCAUUGGCGGUGGAGCAGACAUCUGUAAGGAACUGGCCAAUCAGAAACCUCCUUCUGUCCCGACCCCGCCCCCCGACAGCACCACGGGCCGCCAAAAUCAUAAGCGACAGGAGACCUGGCAGCUGGCAAGGCGCACAACUAAGCUGCAAAUGCAAUUCAGGGAAGCAGAGGCUGUGAGAUCCACUGUGGGAGGAGCCUGCACCUGCGACCUGGGGGUGGCUUUGGCCUUGGCGUUUGGACCAAGAGGAGCAGCUAUGAAGACAACAGCUCUUGUGUCUGCUGACAUGGGACAGUGGAUGGCCAGAGUCUGGGGGUGGACCUCAGCCUUCCCAUCCAAGAAAGAGGUCAAAGAAGGCUGAGAGACAUGGGGAAGAAGUGAGGGUGGGUCGUCUCCUCUUAGCUGUGGAAGAUUCUAGAACAUAUAUGUAGGAGGAUCCCUGGUUUGGGAGUCUCUCCUAGACCUGUC